UCCACCCGAGACUCAGUGAAAUUGAACUCGCUGUGAAGAUGCAGUGUACCCGCGGCAAGACGGAAAGACCCCGUGAACCUUUACUAUAGCUUGACACUGAACAUUGAGCCUUGAUGUGUAGGAUAGGUGGGAGGCUUUGAAGUGUGGACGCCAGUCUGCAUGGAGCCGGCCUUGAAAUACCACCCUUUAAUGUUUGAUGUUCUAACGUGGACCCGUGAUCCGGGUUGCGGACAGUGUCUGGUGGGUAGUUUGACUGGGGCGGUCUCCUCCUAAAGAGUAACGGAGGAGCACGAAGGUUGGCUAAUCCUGGUCGGACAUCAGGAGGUUAGUGCAAUGGCAUAAGCCAGCUUGACUGCGAGCGUGACGGCGCGAGCAGGUGCGAAAGCAGGUCAUAGUGAUCCGGUGGUUCUGAAUGGAAGGGCCAUCGCUCAACGGAUAAAAGGUACUCCGGGGAUAACAGGCUGAUACCGCCCAAGAGUUCAUAUCGACGGCGGUGUUUGGCACCUCGAUGUCGGCUCAUCACAUCCUGGGGCUGAAGUAGGUCCCAAGGGUAUGGCUGUUCGCCAUUUAAAGUGGUACGCGAGCUGGGUUUAGAACGUCGUGAGACAGUUCGGUCCCUAUCUGCCGUGGGCGCUGGAGAACUGAGGGGGGCUGCUCCUAGUACGAGAGGACCGGAGUGGACGCAUCACUGGUGUUCGGGUUGUCAUGCCAAUGGCACUGCCCGGUAGCUAAAUGCGGAAGAGAUAAGUGCUGAAAGCAUCUAAGCACGAAACUUGCCCCGAGAUGAGUUCUCCCUGACCCUUUAAGGGUCCUGAAGGAACGUUGAAGACGACGACGUUGAUAGGCCGGGUGUGUAAGCGCAGCGAUGCGUUGAGCUAACCGGUACUAAUGAACCGUGAGG
rnacentral:rRNA from 2 species